CAGCAAAAUAAGUCUGCCUGGUCAUUUUCAGAUUGGAAGCAAUUAGUGAGAUUCUUGGGAUGAGGGGAAGUGCUGGGCUUAACAGAGCCCAAAUGAUUAUACAGUAAAUAUUAUUCCAGCUCCGUUUACCUUCUUGUAUUAUCAUUAAAUCUAUUUCAUUUAGAGAAGACCCAGAGAUGUUGUGAGCAAGGCUUUGCUAUUCAAUGGCGGUGUCAAAACAAUUCGGUUUCCCCUGCCUGCCAAGCGCCUUCUCUUUCCUCCUCAGCCCUGCCUCGUCCAGUGGAAGUGUCGCGGGAUUCACAGCCGGCAGAGGAGCUGCGCGGUGUAGGGAGUUCCAUGGAUGACCUUCACACUCUUAUUCCCUGUGUAACAGAGACCCUAAGCUGGGUCAGACCCACGAAAAUACGAUCCGGGACGUUAGGCCUGGGUAAAAGCUGCCUGCAUCGUCCCCCACCGACUUGCUUCUUCCGUCUCUUCCAGUAAAGCCUGAGAGACCAGACCCUUCCCUGGUAAGCCUGGCCUGGAGUCUCUAGUACAGUUUUGGAAAGGAAGCCGUUCUCGCGCUUUGGGACGCCAGGCAGUGGAGCUGACCCAGGGCAGCCCCGGUGAUGGCCGCGCCACCCCCUGGCUGCUGGGACAGGAAGAUGCGGGAUCUGGUCAGAGAUCCAUAGCACCCACGGUGGAGGGGAGGGCUGGGCCUGGGCACAGAGUGCAUCGCCUCAGACCAGUCGCCUGCAUAAGCUUCCGCGCUUUCUCCAGUCCCCAGUGGCCUAUCACUUUGUGCCCUAGGCCGAGCUCGGGACCCAAAGGGCAGAGGGAGUCAGUGGCCUGCCCGGGACGUCUGACCUAAGCUGCAAAGGAGCAGGAACAAGACCCUCUGCAGGAGGCACAGGCAACUACGCUGAGGGCGAGGAGGAAAAAGCAUAUUUAUUGGAUUGGCAUUUCUCUUAACAGAGCCCUUUCCUAAUGAUAUUUACUUAACUGUAUUUGACAGCAGUUACGAACACGUCUCGGGUAAACCGGAUCUAUUCUCCUUGCGCCUACAACUGCCUGUCAGUUCCUAAGCCAAUCGCAGUAAUAACCGCUGGAUCAUUUUAAAUGUGGCUAAACAGACGUUGGACAAAAUCAAUCUGCCAUAUGCUGGCUCCGAAGGAAAUCACUUGCAGUUUGACGAAUUGCUUUCAGUCCCUCCAGCAAUCCAUAACUCGCUCUCUUUCUUCCUCUUUUCCCCCUCUCUGUACCCCCUUCUCUCCCCUUUUUCCCGGAGGGCCCCCCCCAGCCUUUUCCGUGGAGUCCACUCUUUCUGGAGAACUCCAGGUAAUCCGGAAUGGCACUGACCCUUCUCAUCCUCCGAUUACCUCUCUGAAGCAUGAACUUGGGACAAAAAUCACGCAUCAGAAAAUUCACUGUAAUUAUUUUUGCAAUGCUAUCAGCAACGAUCAAUCACGCGUACGGUCCAGUGCUGGAAUGCCUGGCGCAGCCGUGGUCGCGGACCCGCAUCCUGUCUGACUGACAGUUUUGGUAAUUAAGUGAUUGUAUAGACCCCUCCGACUGUUCUAACAGCCUUGUCAGGGCCUGUCUGUGGACAGAACAAGCUGAAAUCAAUGUGCUUCCUGCUCUCUGAGCAGUUCUGAGCUUGUAUUCAGGCUGAUCCGAGAGCGGGAAUCUGACAAAAAGAAAACAGCAGCUCUAAAUGAUAGGAUUAUUGGAGGGGUGUGUGGGGGUGUGUGGGAAAAGUUUACUUCGUUGAGGAAGGGAAGAGCUAGGGGUCCAGACUCGGCCACCAGAGCUGGCUGUUGACUUGGAGUGGAGCCAGAGGCUGGGGGCUGGUUACCCUGGGGCCUCAGGGUAGGGCUGGAGGUACCCGGUGCUGUCUGUUGUAGCCAAAGACCUCAGCCCGGCAGCGGACAGCAGCGUCCCAGCACGCCGCAGCCAAGGCUUGGUGGUACAACCGUUUUCGCCAGGAUUAGAGGCCGAGAAGCUGGCGGCUCAGUGUAAAUGUCAGG